UGAUUAUACCCAGGGCUUAACCAUGAUC
rnacentral:piRNA from 1 species